UGAAACAUAAAUUAAAAAAAAAAAGGACGUCAAAAGAUUUGUACAGAAAGACUGAGCUCUAAAAAUGUAGAAAGUCUUUGCUCUCCGUAAAGGAAAGCUCAACAAAGUAAGUUGCAGAGAAGCCAAAAGAGAAAAGGUUCAGAGGAAGAGGUUUAGAGAGAGAAAAAGGGACUUCGGAUACCAAACUGGGAAGUGAGAAUUUUGUUUUGCUACAGGAGAAGAG
rnacentral:misc_RNA from 1 species